rnacentral:misc_RNA from 1 species
ACCUACUUUUCUGAGACUGGAACAUUUUCAAAGAUUAAACCGACAUAAGUUAUGCAAAACCAACAUGAUCAGGCACACCAACUUGGCGGUGGAACUCAAAGUAGUUUUUCUGAUACGAGAACAAAAGCCAUCUUACAUUACCCAACUUGUAGUUGCUUCUACGCCAUAAAUAAUGUAACCAUUAGAUGAACUUGUCACGUGUGCAUUAAGGUUUUGGGAUUACUUAGUCAGGCUAAUAGAGUACAUAUUUUCAGCUCUACAUGCGUAUGUAUUAUUUAGCAUUUUUUUUUUUUU